CCUAAAAAAGGGGCUUGAAACCAAAUAAGCCCAUUGGAAAAACAAAAGACUAGACAACCUAAACCUAAUGCGAAAAAGAAACAGAAAAAGAAAUAGCUCGUUGCCUAGGGAAAACCCUUACCCGUCCCAUCCUUUAAGUCGGCACCAAUGACUAUCGGUUUCCAUUUCCCAAAAAAUUUCCAAAUUCCCAUCCCUGCAUCCAGAAGCUUUAUUUCCUCAAGACCAGAUCUGCAAAGCCUUUUUUUCACACAAGGACUCAAAAUUUGAUCUCUUCCACAAGCCUCAAUCAGGUUCGCGAAUCCAAUUGUCUACUAGAAUCUUCACAGCGUAUCUCGGGACAGAACUCCUCAGGCGAGGGCCUCCGCUGCAAAAGCCAAGCCAACAUUCUCGUGUAUAGUUGAACCGGAGGCAACCACUCUCUCCCUUGCGUUUCUGGCAAUAAACCCCAACCCUGACCGAAAAAGAGCCCUGUUAAAUGCCACGUCAAAGUUGAUCUUGACCUACUCCCCAGAAGGGGCCUCCCAUCUUGCAAUGCCGACCACCCUUUCCACAGAUCCCAAAGGGUAAGACAAGAAAUUCGGCACUGCCAUGUUGAACAAAUGUUAAGAACCCAGGUAAGCUACUCAAACCACCCUUGAUUUACAUUAGAGAGAACAACUAAUAACCCCAGUAAUCCCCAGACUUCACUGGCAACAGGGCAACCACGAAAGACAUGCGCUAAGGUUUCAACUCCAUCCCUGCAUCUAGGGCAUAUUACAGUCCUUGAUAGUCUUUUAAAAUACAAGUUUGACAUAGAUGGGAUAAAAUUGUUUGAAAUACGCCAAACUGUAAUUCUAAUUUUAGAAGGUAGAUUAAGGCUCCAUAGUCUUCGACAGAACAUUCUAAUCGUGGUCUGUAAUUCCUCUAAAUUAGGAUCAUAGGUUUCAGCUUGUAAUAGUUUAUAGACACUUCUAAUAGCGAACUCUCCAGAAGGUUCACUUCUCUACACCAGCUCAUCAUCAUGCAGGAUUUUUGCGAGCGGAAUUCAGAGAAUCCUGGCAUCAUCAACAGCAUCAAAAACAUCAAUAAUAAUCUCACUUCUCCAUUCUCUAUUAGCACUAUUGAUGAGCUCAGCAACUAAUUCCAUAUUACAAUUAAGAACUGGAUAAGAAAUUUUAUAA